rnacentral:rRNA from 1 species
AUUGAACGCUGGCGGAAUGCUUUACACAUGCAAGUCGAGCGGCAGCGCGGCCUUCGGGCUGGCGGCGAGCGGCGAACGGGUGAGUAAUGCAUCGGAACAUGCCCAGUCGUGGGGGAUAACACUUCGAAAGAAGUGCUAAUACCGCAUACGUCCUGAGGGGGAAAGCGGGGGAUCGCAAGACCUCGCGCGAUUGGAGUGGCCGAUGUCAGAUUAGCUAGUUGGUGGGGUAAGGCCUACCAAGGCGACGAUCUGUAGCUGGUCUGAGAGGAUGAUCAGCCACACUGGGACUGAGACACGGCCCAGACUCCUACGGGAGGCAGCAGUGGGGAAUUUUGGACGAUGGGGGCAACCCUGAUCCAGCCAUUCCGCGUGAGUGAAGAAGGCCUUCGGGUUGUAAAGCUCUUUCGGCAGGAACGAAACGUUGGGCUCUAACAUAGUCUGCUAAUGACGGUACCUGAAGAAGAAGCACCGGCUAACUACGUG